GUCUCUACGGGACGCAGCAGUGAGGAAUAUUGGUCAAUGGGCGGGAGCCUGAACCAGCCAAGUCGCGUGAGGGAAGACGGUCCUAUGGAUUGUAAACCUCUUUAGGCGGGGAGCAAUGCCGGGCACGUGUGCCCGGAGGGAGAGUACCCGCAGAAUAAGCAUCGGCUAACUCCGUGCCAGCAGCCGCGGUAAUACGGAGGAUGCGAGCGUUAUCCGGAUUUAUUGGGUUUAAAGGGUGCGUAGGCGGAUUUUUAAGUCAGCGGUAAAAUGUCCGGGCUCAACCCCAUCCAGCCGUUGAAACUGGG
rnacentral:rRNA from 1 species